rfam:Triticum urartu cultivar G1812 contig326417, whole genome shotgun sequence.
CUCAUACUCCCUCCAUCCGGAAUUAGUUGUCGCUCGAACGGAUGUAUCUACCAGUGGUAGAUACAUCCGUUUGAGCGACAACUAAUUCUGGAUGGAGGAAGUACUUA